AGGUUAAAAGCCCAGAGAAGACCGCCAGGGGCGCGUGGAAAUGGUGUCCCUCGUCUCCAAGGCCCAGACGGAGCUUAGCUUCCUCUUGAAGGAGCCAUAUCUGUAUUUCUGGUGAACGUCGUGUUUGACAUCAAAGGAAUGUUUAGAGACAUGAUUUCAGCCUUCCUUACGCAGAGAAUGCUCAUCAAAAAAUAAAAUGGACACACCAUACACUGACGUCACUCAGAUUUCUAUGGCUGGAAGUUAACAAAUAUUGUUUUCAAAUGCGUGUAGCCUGAUGCUCCAGAGUUAGUUUGGCGAGCCUCAGCAUUUUCUGUCAGGCACAAGAAAGAAAAGACUCCAGACACCAUGAUGUGGAACGUGGAGUGGGGAUGUUUGGUGGCCUUGAAGUAAGUGAAUAACCCUUCUGUCUGUUACCUCAGAAAAUAUUUAUCCUGCUUAUACAGCAGUGAUUGUGUCAAACCCAACAAGUAAUACUCUUGUUCAAGAUAGUAUUUCAUACUCCAUAUACAGAGAUGUAUUCAAUAUUUUAAGUGUUUUACAAGUGUCUGAAAAGACAGAAUUCAUCAAAUGUCAUAUGGCAAUGAAAAGGGCAACAUGAACACUUUCUGUAAAGAAGAAAUAACCACCAAACUAGAUGUCUAUACACAACAAAAUGUCUUUUAUGGAAGUGUGAUAUAAAACUAUUUGAAACCAAAAAUGAUAAAUGUAAUGGAAAUACAUUUACACAAAAAAUAAUGUUUAAAAUAAUACUCAAGGCCAAAGAAAGUUGAUCUCAGGUGAAAAGUCUGCAAUGAGAGAAGAAAUGAAGAUGAAAAGAAGUGCAUCUUUUGAUUAAAAUAACAGCAUAUUACAGUGUAAAACAUAAGUAGAUAUACUUAUUGAGUUAGAAUGAUGGAAUUCCCGUGCGUAACCUCAACUACAUAUAAAUUGAAAGGAGGCUAGUUGCUCAAAGUUUUAAAUUUUUUAUAUUUCCAAGUGGAAAGCAAAUGUAUUACAAUCCUGUAUGGCACGCUAAUGUGUUAAACGUUUGUAAUUUUUAGCCUAAAUAUAAUAAAUACAGUCAGCGUAUAUACUUUUCAAACUAGAAGAGGAAAUGUUUGGAAUAUAAAUAAAUAAUCAAUAGAAAGGUAAAAUAAUAGUAAAAUAAGUGGAAGAAGUGAGGCAAAGAAAAGCACAAUGUAGGAUAUAUUUAAACUGUCAACCUAAAUAACAGAGAUUCUUCAAAGAUGUUGAGUUCAUUCAGGAAUGCACAGGGGAUUUGCAAAUCCAGGACAUGCAGGCUAUAGGGACUAUAGGCAUAUCCAGAGAGCUUGAAACAAGGAGAAGCUUUCAAAGGCAAAAGGGAAAAGUAUAUAUAAUUUGUUUUGAGAUAAAAAGAACAUUGGUCACAGAUGUUUAUGGCAGAGGUUAACACCAGUUCAUUAGUGGAGACAAUCUGUCAGGCAAGUGUUCUACUACAUCUAGAGCUGUCCUUGUAACUCCUGUAGCAAGCUGCGGUUUGAGAAGUUCUUGUCAAAACUUCUUUUAACGGGAAUAUGUGCAUUAAGAGCCCUCAGAGACAGUAAUAGCUCUUAUCUUAAGCAUGUGUGUUUGAGUGCCCUCUUUUCUCAGCCUCCUGGCUUUAUUUAUUUAUUUACUUAUUUAUUUAUUUUACACAAGUUACUCAUUUUGGUUUUGACAACUUUUGCAAAACCUAAAUGACUAUGCAAUAAAUACUCAAAUAAGCAGUUAGUAAUUUUUGAUGGACCAAAACACGCUUCACGAGGUAUUCUCUUUUCUUCAGUGAAUUUCCACAGAAUUUGAAUUGUGAUUGAAAGCACAACUAACAUUCCCAGACUCCCUACUCUGUCAGUAAGAAAAGAAUCAUGUUGUAGUUAGAAACGUCCAAAAUCUGCUUUAGAGAAACCAAGACCUACGCUUGAAGGUUACCAGGCCCUUGACUCACCCAACUGGGCUGAGAUGUCAUCAGGGAACUGCAUAUCAUCAGCAUCUUCUGGUUAUUCAUACAGGGGUGGGAUAAGGAUGACAAUAAUUUACAUUUAAUAAUGUCCAUAUCCUAGACAUUCUAUCAGACCUUUUAUAAACACUACGCACUUUUGCCCUGUAAAGUGGAUUUGUCACCUAAAUUAAUAUGAGGAAACUGAGGUUUCUUGGGUCUAUAAUUUAUUUUCAGCUGUAGCUGUUAAGUGGCAUAGUUGGCAAUGGAGUCCAAGGAGCCAUGACUAACUACUUCCCAGCAUGGCCUCCUACCCUAGGUCAUCUAUCUGGGUAGGUUCAGAGCCCUUUCUAUGUUAGACAAACAAGGCUAUGAAAAAUUCAAUGUCCCAGGCAGCUGACAUGAGGACAAGAAUGUGUCUUGCCUUUUCUUCACCACAGAAACAUGAACCUUCAGCUUCAUUUAUUCCCUAAACGUGGGUUCCUUGGAUGCCAAUCAAGAAUCAAAACAGGAAAAGUCCUGCUGGCCCACAAAUACAGAGGGUUUGAUAGGUGAAAUGUUAUUGCCUGAGCCUCACCGUAUCAUCCCAACCACCCACAUAUCCUGUUACCUCUGCCUCCUAAUAUGUCUCAGGUCAUCUUCUUCUCAACACCUCCAAUUUCAUGCCCUUGGGCCAAUCUGCCAACAUUCCUGAGCUACACAAUGCCUUCUGCCUUGUAUCCUACAUCAGUUUUUUCUCUACUUUAGUUCAUUCUCCACAUAUCAUGCAGAAGAUGACUUCAACACAAAUCAGGUUCUAUUUGGGAGAAUCAGAAGCAUGUUGGUGGCUAGAGGGGGAAGGGCUUCCCUCCAAACUUUAGUGUUAUAACAUGGUUUAGGGUUAUAACCUGUCCUGCAUUUUCAGUGGUCCCACCAGUAAUUUCUAUGUUGUCUUUUUUGUCAGGCUCAUUGCUACUGUCCAGCCCCUAGGAUUUCUUCCUCAGCAGAGGACUCCUGUAAUGCCCCUGACUCAAUCCACAUUCUCUUCCUCCUCUCUCCUUUACAGCAAGAACUAAAAUCAUUUCCUUGCAGACCUAGGCCAGCGAACAGGAGAUUCACAACCAUGUUAUCGAUUUGGUGCUGCCCUUCACACUUCAUGGAACAUGAAAGCUCAGUGAGGGUCUGAGUCCACUUCCCAGCAGAGAGAGCAUAGCCAUGUGCCAUUUAUGUGAGAGUGCAAUCUUGGUACAUUUAGAGUAACUGUUUAAUCCAAUAUGCAGAUGGAUGGUGUUCAAUUAGGAAUUCUCAAAAUUUUUUUAAAAAGAAUUCUCAAAUAAAAAUCUCAUAUAAUUCCUAUUCCAUUUAAAGCCAAUGAUUUUGUUUUCCUGUGCUUUGAAACUAGAACAUCCUUGUUGUCUCAAUCCCAAGACGGAAGCCAAGCUAAAAAACAAAAGGAGCAGGACUUCACAGAAGCCCUAAGGCUCAAUGAAGGAUGGGCCAUUGCACAUUGCACAGUCUUUUUAAAAAAACAAUAAUUGUACUGCUAUCCACACAUCCUUGUGAGUCAUUUCUCAUCAGACAUAUAUUCUAAGCCAUAUGCAGUACAUACAGCUCUAAAUUCUAGUAAUCAUCCUGACAGAAUUCUAAUGAAGGAGGUGGAUGAGCAUUUACCAGAUUCAAAUGAAUGCAAACUGAAAAAUAGGCAAAACUAUGUUAGAUGACAAUGUAAGAAAUCAGACAUGCCACAAAUUAGACCUCCUUGAUGGGUGAAUGACUUACAGCGGGGGUUACAGAAAUGCUGGUAUGGCUGGGCGCAGUGACUCACACCUGUAAUCCAGUACUUUGGGAGGCCUAGGUGGGCAGAUCACGAGGUCAGGAGAUCGAGACCAUCCUGGGCAACAUGGUGAAACCCCGUCUCUACUAAAAAUACAAAAAAUUAGCCGGGCAUAGUGGUGCGUGCCUGUAGUCCCAGCUACUCGGGAGGCUGAGGCAGGGGAAUCGCUUGAACCUGGGAGGCGGAGGUUGCGGUGAGCUGAGAUUGCACCACUGCGCUCCAGCCUGGUGACAGAGUGGGACUCUGUCUCAAAAAAGAAAAAAAAAAAGAAAUGCUGGUAUACUAACACUGUUCUUUUUUGAUUGGCACACUGCUUUUAGAGAUGUGUUGACUUUGGGAAUAUUCAUUGAGCUGUACAACUACAUGUUAAUUUUUGUGAAUGUCAUUUGUAAAUUAAAAUUUACCAAAAGUUCAUGCUAACAAAC
rnacentral:lncRNA from 1 species